rnacentral:rRNA from 1 species
AGUGAACGCUGGCGGUAGGCCUAACACAUGCAAGUCGAACGGCAGCACAGGAGAGCUUGCUCUCUGGGUGGCGAGUGGCGGACGGGUGAGGAAUACAUCGGAAUCUACUCUGUCGUGGGGGAUAACGUAGGGAAACUUACGCUAAUACCGCAUACGACCUACGGGUGAAAGCAGGGGACCUUCGGGCCUUGCGCGAUUGAAUGAGCCGAUGUCGGAUUAGCUAGUUGGCGGGGUAAAGGCCCACCAAGGCGACGAUCCGUAGCUGGUCUGAGAGGAUGAUAAGCCACACUGGAACUGAGACACGGUCCAGACUCCUACGGGAGGAAGCAGUGGGGAAUAUUGGACAAUGGGCGCAAGCCUGAUCCAGCCAUACCGCGUGGGUGAAGAAGGCCUUCGGGUUGUAAAGCCCUUUUGUUGGGAAAGAAACCCAGCUGGCUAAUACCCGGUUGGGAUGACGGUACCCAAAGAAUAAGCACCGGCUAACUUCGUGCCAGCCGCCGCCGUAA